AGCGAACGCUGGCGGCAGGCUUAACACAUGCAAGUCGAGCGGGCACUUUCGGGUGUCAGCGGCGGACGGGUGAGUAACGCGUGGGAACGUGCCCUCUGGUUCGGAAUAACUCAGGGAAACUUGAGCUAAUACCGGAUACGCCCUUUUGGGGAAAGGCUUGCUGCCGGAGGAUCGGCCCGCGUCUGAUUAGCUAGUUGGUGAGGUAACGGCUCACCAAGGCGACGAUCAGUAGCUGGUCUGAGAGGAUGAUCAGCCACACUGGGACUGAGACACGGCCCAGACUCCUACGGGAGGCAGCAGUGGGGAAUAUUGGACAAUGGGCGCAAGCCUGAUCCAGCCAUGCCGCGUGAGUGAUGAAGGCCUUAGGGUUGUAAAGCUCUUUUAUCCGGGACGAUAACGACGGUACCGGAGGAAUAAGCCCCGGCUAACUUCGUG
rnacentral:rRNA from 1 species